UAGGGAAUAUUGGGCAAUGGGUGAGAGCCUGACCCAGCCAUGCCGCGUGCCGGAAGACGGCCCUCUGGGUUGUAAACGGCUUUUAUAUAGGAACAAAAGGGCCCUGCGGGGCUGAUUGCGGGUACUAUAGGAAUAAGCACCAGCUAACUCCGUGCCAGCAGCCGCGGUAAUACGGAGGGUGCGAGCGUUGUCCGGAUUUAUUGGGUUUAAAGGGUACGUAGGCGGAAGGCUAAGUCUGGGGUGAAAGCUGUCGGCUCAACCGACAAACUGCCCUGGAUACCGGUCAUCUUGAGUGCCGUAGAGGUAGGCGGAAUUCAUGGUGUAGCGGUGAAAUGCAUAGAUACCAUGAGGAACACCGAUAGGGAAGCCAGCUUACUAGACGGUGACUGACGCUGAGGUACGAAAGCGUGGGGAGCGAACAGGAUUAGAUACCCCGGUAGUCC
rnacentral:rRNA from 1 species